rnacentral:rRNA from 1 species
GAUGCAGCGACGCCGCGUGAGUGAAGAAGUAUGUUCGGUAUGUGAAAGCUCUAUCAGCAGGGAAGAAGAUGACGGUACCUGAGUAAGAAGCCCCGGCUAACUACGUGCCAGCAGCCGCGGUAAUACGUAGGGGGCAAGCGUUAUCCGGAUUUACUGGGUGUAAAGGGAGCGCAGACGGCAGCGUAAGUCUGAAGUGAAAGCCCGCGGCUUAACCGCGGGACUGCUUUGGAAACUACGCGGCUUGAGUGUCGGAGGGGCAGGCGGAAUUCCUGGUGUAGCGGUGAAAUGCGUAGAUAUCAGGAAGAACACCGGUGGCGAAGGCGGCCUGCUGGACGACAACUGACGUUGAGGCUCGAAGGCGUGGGGAGCGAACAGGAUUAGAUACCCUGGUAGUCCACGCGGUAAACGAUGAAUACUAGGUGUCGGCGCCCAAAGGGAGUCGGUGCCGUCGCAAACGCAGUAAGUAUUCCACCUGGGGAGUACGUUCGCAAGAAUGAAACUCAAGGAAUUGACGGGGACCGCACAGCAGUGGAGCAUGUG